AUUGAACGCUGGCGGCAUGCCUUACACAUGCAAGUCGAACGGCAGCACGGGGCAACCUGGUGGCGAGUGGCGAACGGGUGAGUAAUGCAUCGGAACGUACCUUUCAGUGGGGGAUAACGUAGCGAAAGUUACGCUAAUACCGCAUAUUCUGUGAGCAGGAAAGCAGGGGAUCGCAAGACCUUGCGCUGAUUGAGCGGCCGAUGUCAGAUUAGCUAGUUGGUGAGGUAAAGGCUCACCAAGGCGACGAUCUGUAGCGGGUCUGACAGGAUGAUCCGACACACUUGGACGGAGACACGGUCCAGACACCUACGGGAGGCAGCAGUGGGGGAUGUUGGACAAUGGGGGCAACCCUGAUCCAGCCAUGCCGCGUGAGUGAAGAAGGCCUUCGGGUUGUAAAGCUCUUUCGGCCGGGAAGAAAUCGCACGGGCUAAUACCCUGUGUGGAUGACGGUACCGGAAUAAGAAGCACCGGCUAACUACGUGCCAGCCGCCGCAGUAAUAC
rnacentral:rRNA from 1 species